rnacentral:rRNA from 1 species
GAUGAACGCUAGCGACAGGCUUAACACAUGCAAGUCGAGGGGCAGCACGAUGUAGCAAUACAUUGGUGGCGACCGGCGCACGGGUGAGUAACGCGUAUGCAACCUACCUAUCAGAGGGGAAUAACCCGGCGAAAGUCGGACUAAUACCGCAUAAAACAGGGGUUCCACAUGGAAAUAUUUGUUAAAGAAUUAUCGCUGAUAGAUGGGCAUGCGUUCCAUUAGAUAGUUGGUGAGGUAACGGCUCACCAAGUCCACGAUGGAUAGGGGUUCUGAGAGGAAGGUCCCCCACACUGGUACUGAGACACGGACCAGACUCCUACGGGAGGCAG